UGGGGAAUAUUGCACAAUGGGGGAAACCCUGAUGCAGCGACGCCGCGUGAACGAAGAAGGUAUUCGUAUCGUAUAGUUCUGUCCUAUGGGAAGAUAAUGACAGUACCAUAGAAGAAAGCUCCGGCUAAAUACGUGCCAGCAGCCGCGGUAAUACGUAUGGAGCGAGCGUUGUCCGGAAUUAUUGGGCGUAAAGGGUACGCAGGCGGUUUAAUAAGUCGAAUGUUAAAGAUCGGGGCUCAACCCCGUAAAGCAUUGGAAACUGAUAAACUUGAGUAGUGGAGAGGAAAGUGGAAUUCCUAGUGUAGUGGUGAAAUACGUAGAUAUUAGGAGGAAUACCAGUAGCGAAGGCGACUUUCUGGACACAAACUGACGCUGAGGUACGAAAGCGUGGGGAGCAAACAGG
rnacentral:rRNA from 1 species